AAGGCAAGAGAGAAGAAGGGAGGGCAGGAGAUGGCAGGAGAAGCAAGAUGCUUAAGAAGAUCGGACCUUCUCAGAUGUUGCCACGAGCCUAGGUAGGCCAAGAAUAUUUUUCUGUGGCAUCUCUAGGGUCCCAGAAGCCAUAAGGGACCCCAUAGCACAUGGGUCUGAGCCGCGAGGUCUGACGACCAGGUAAUCUGGGAUCCAGCAGGUCAAACCAGGGGUUAUUCCAUGGGGACCCCCCAGUCCUCAGGCCCAGCCUCAUGAGCGUUGGGCUGUUGGCCCUGGACAUCACGGAUGGGGUAAAAUGGUCCCCAUGAACCUGGCGAAGUUGGCCCCUGGAAAGGUUGGCCAUGGGCACCCCCAUGAGUGUGAGUGAAGGGACGCAUAUGCCUGUGCGUGUUGCCCGCAGGCAGGAGCCCAGCACACACCCCACCGGCCCUGGGACACCCGUGACAUGCACCUGCAUUGUGUAGAAGGCUUGGGUUGAGCUGCCUGAGGGGCCCCCACCUCACCCUCUGCUUCCUCUCAGGGGUGGGAGGCCGAGGGUGAACUUGUUUACCACUUCUGCUCCGGGCAGUGGUGAUGAGCUCACACUGGCCCAGUGCCCUCCAAGGGCAGGGCCAGGCCUGAGUCAUGGGGGUCAGAUGACUGCGGAGGCUAAAUGGGUCCCAUCCUGCAGCCCCCGGGAGCUGUUGGACACCCCGCCCUUCCCCUGAUGGUGGGCCACCCUUCCAAAUCAUUCAGCACCCCCAGGCCAAACACAGGGUGGAGAGGGUUCAGGGUUCAGGCCACCGUGGGCCCCUCCCCACAAUUCCACCUAUCCCAGGGCCAUUCACUGCCCUCUGGGGGCACCACCCUAGUUCAAGCUAAUGCCCUCCCAGAGUGGCAAACACUCCUCUAGUCACAUGUGAGGCCCCAAACACAUCCUAGAAAUAGAUUAAACAUUGAGGCUGUUACUUCUUCUGGGGCCUCAGGCUGCGGCACUGUCUAACGAGGUGGCGAACUGAUGCUCUCCAGCGGCACUUCCCCAGUGACCUUUGCCCUUGGCCUGUGGUGUACGUUCCUGGGGCUGCAGUUGAUGAAAGCUAAGAGAAGACCCUCAGCUCUGUCCCCCAGCAGACCUGCGGGAUCAGGAUUAUCUGCUGAUUGGAGGCCCACACCCUGGCUCCCUUCAGACAGCGUGAGGAACCAAGGUUAGCAU
rnacentral:lncRNA from 1 species